rnacentral:rRNA from 1 species
UUGAACGCUGGCGGCAUGCCUUACACAUGCAAGUCGGACGGCAGCGCGGGCUUCGGCCUGGCGGCGAGUGGCGAACGGGUGAGUAAUACAUCGGAACGUAUCCUGGAGUGGGGGAUAGCCCGGCGAAAGCCGGAUUAAUACCGCAUACGCUCUGAGGAGGAAAGCGGGGGACCUUCGGGCCUCGCGCUCAAGGGGCGGCCGAUGGCGGAUUAGGUAGUUGGUGGGGUAAAGGCCUACCAAGCCGACGAUCCGUAGCUGGUCUGAGAGGACGACCAGCCACACUGGGACUGAGACACGGCCCAGACUCCUACGGGAGGCAGCAGUGGGGAAUUUUGGACAAUGGGGGCAACCCUGAUCCAGCAAUGCCGCGUGUGUGAAGAAGGCCUUCGGGUUGUAAAGCACUUUUGUCCGGAAAGAAAUC